UACGAAGGGGGCUAGCGUUGCUCGGAAUCACUGGGCGUAAAGGGUGCGUAGGCGGGUCUUUAAGUCAGGGGUGAAAUCCUGGAGCUCAACUCCAGAACUGCCUUUGAUACUGAGAUCUUGAGUUCGGGAGAGGUGAGUGGAACUGCGAGUGUAGAGGUGAAAUUCGUAGAUAUUCGCAAGAACACCAGUGGCGAAGGCGGCUCACUGGCCCGAUACUGACGCUGAGCGCGAAGGCGUGGGAGCGAACGGG
rnacentral:rRNA from 1 species